CAAUGAGCUCAUAAACAAUGUCAUGUGGUCACUUUCCUGAUCUCCUUCCUUUCUAUGAUCUUUGUGGUCCUUUCCAGUUCACUGGCCCUAUUUUUGUCUUUUUAGGCAGAAAGCUGGAAUUUUGUGAUCAUAGUUUGCCACAGAAGUCUCAUAAUUGCACCCGCAUCUGGGGCUAAGCAGUAGGAGGAAAUAGAAGAAAAAAAUCAACUCCUGUUUGAGUUGAUCCAUCCUCAUGGGACCACAGCUUCUCUGAGGAGAGAAGAAAGUUUCCAUUCCACAAAGUUUUAGGUACCUGUGGACCCUGCUGCUGCUGCUGUUGCUGCCAUUAACGCCACUACUGCCACGAAUGGAGGAUUUCCUGGCGGCCAGGACAUGAUAGCGUGGAGAUUGUAAAAGAAAAAAAAAAAUAGGCGGGUGGAGAAAAAUGGCGGACUACAAGCCUACAUCCUUCCUACUACCCACAGGAACCCAAAUUUUAAAAACUAUCUGCACACAGAAAAGCACCAUCAUAAGAACCAAAAAUCAGGGUAACUGUGGAAGCUGACAGACAUAAGCCGAAGAAGAAAAUGAUUGGCAUCACUGUAGGUCCUCAGCAAAUCAAAAUGGGUGCCUGGUAAGGUUCAUGGUUAAGAGAUGUGGUGCAGCUGUUCUUUUAUCUCCUACUCAGAGUGGAAAUAGCCUUACCAGAGCAAGGCACAGUGAACAAUAGAAGUAAUAUUUUUAAAAAAUGUGCCUCUGCAAAGGAUUGAUCAGUGGCUUAACAAAGAUUGACAUCAGCGUGACAUUCUCUGCAACAAUGCACAAGGCUGCACAGAAAAAUCUUCCCUAUUUACAAGCACAGUCAACCUUUCAUCUCUGAUUUCCCCUGAAGACCGCAGUGACCCUCUUAAAAUAUACUGCAGGGGUAAGCUUUUUUUUCUCCCUUUCCUUCUUCUAUAUUGGAAUAGGAGACUUCUCUGAAAAAGCCUCUAAUAGUGGAGUUUUGGGAGAUGGAAUUCUCAUCUGGAAUUUUUUACCAAAGGAAUUUUAUUUUAUUUUAUUUUAUUAUUAUUAUUUUUUUUGGUGAGACAGAGUCUCACUCUGUUGCCCAAGCUGGAGUGCAGUGGCAUGAUCUUGGCUCACUGCAACCUCCACCUCCCUGGUUCAAACGAUU
rnacentral:lncRNA from 1 species